rnacentral:rRNA from 1 species
AUUGAACGCUGGCGGCAUGCCUAACACAUGCAAGUCGAACGGGGUAGCAAUACCCAGUGGCGGACGGGUGAGGAAUACAUAGGAAUUUGCCUUUAGGUGGGGGAUAGCCCGGGGAAACGUACGGAGUAAUAACCGCAUGAUGUCGAAAGAACCAAAGUAGGGGAUCGCAAGACCUUGCGCCUUUAGAGAAGCCUAUGUCUGAUUAGCUAGUUGGUAGGGUAAUGGCCUACCAAGGCGACGACAGUAACUGGUCUGAGAGGACGAUCAGUCACACCGGAACUGAGACACGGUCCGGACUCCUACGGGAGGCAGCAGGUGGGGAAUAUUGGACAAUGGGCGAAAGCCUGAUCCAGCAAUGCCGCGUGUGU